rnacentral:rRNA from 1 species
AUUGAACGCUGGCGGCAGGCCUAACACAUGCAAGUCGAGCGGAGGAAGGGAGCUUGCUCCUGGAUUCAGCGGCGGACGGGUGAGUAAUGCCUAGGAAUCUGCCUGGUAGUUGGGGAUAACGUCCGGAAACGGGAGCUAAUACCGCAUACGGCCUGAGGGAGAAAGUGGGGGAUCUUCGGAGCUCACGCGAUCAGAUGAGCCUGUGUCGGAUUAGCUAGUUGGUGGGGUAAAGGCCUACCAAGGCGACGAUCCGUAACGGGGCUGAGAGGAUGAGCCGUCACACUGGAACUGAGACACGGUCCAGACUCCUACGGGAGGCAGCAGUGGGGAAUAUUGGACAAUGGGCGAAAGCCUGAUCCAGCCAUGCCGCGUGUGUGAAGAAGGUCUUCGGAUUGUAAAGCACUUUAAGUUGGGAGGAAGGGCAGUAAGUUAAUACCUUGCUGUUUUGACGUUACCAACAGAAUAAGCACCGGCUAACUUCGUG